CAAUAGCGUAUAUUAAAGUUGUUGCAGUUAAAAGCUCGUAGUUGGAUGUCUGGCUCUGUGUUGCGGUCCACCGCAAGGUGAGCACUGCGAUGUGGGGUCUUCCUCUUGAAUGCUGCGUGUGCUCUUAGUUGAGUGUGCGUGGGGUUUGGGAUCUUUACUUUGAAAAAUUAGAGUGUUCAAAGCAGGCGAUUGCUUGAAUAUAUUAGCAUGGAAUAAUGGAAUAGGACUUGGGUUCUAUUUUGUUGGUUUCUAGGACCGAGGUAAUGAUUAAGAGGGACAAUUGGGGGCGAUCCGUAUUUCGUUGUCAGAGGUGAAAUUCUUGGAUUUACGAAAGACGAACAACUGCGAAAGCACUUGCCAAGAGUGUUUUCAUUAAUCAAGAACGAAAGUUAGAGGAUCGAAGACGAUCAGAU
rnacentral:rRNA from 1 species